rnacentral:SRP_RNA from 1 species
ACUGGGUGUGGUAGACUGUACCUGUAGUCCCAGAUAGUUGGGAGGCUGAGGAAGGAGGAUUGCCUGAGCCCAGGAGUUCUGAACUGCAGUGCACUACGUCAAUCAAUUGUCCACACUAAGUUCAGCAUAUAGUGACCUCCAGGGAGCAGGGGACCUCCAGGUUGCCUAAGGAGGGAUAAACUGGCCCAGGCUGGAAAUGAAGCAGGUCAAAACUCCCAUGCUGGUCAGCAGUAGGACUGCGCCUGUGAACAGCCACUGCACUCCAGUCUGGGCAACAUAUCUCUAUU